GACUGAGGCAAAAAAGGCAAGAAAAAAUAAAAGGCCAUGUAGACUGAAAAGGAAGAAGUAAAACUGUCUUUGCAGAGAAAAAAUGGAUUGCUUAUACAUGAAUGAUAGUCUGCUGACAGAUUUCUCAUCGGCAUCAGCAGAAUACAGCAAAUAAACAUCUUCUAACAGUUGAGGUAAAUGAACUGUCUGCUUAAGAGUCAAUAACCAAUGAAAAUAUCAUUCAAAGGCAAAACUCACAGAUUCUUCCCAAGAGAACACUAAAUGAUAUACCUCAGUCACAAGAAAACAAUGGAGAAGAGUGGGAUAUGGAGAAAAGAAGAGUGGAGAAGUGAAGUAUCAAACUUGUAUGAGGUCACACAGCUAAAGACUACAGCUAGGAGAAUGUCCUCUAGCUCAGAAAUGACGUGAAACUCAAAAAGCAAUUCUAACAGUCUGCAUUUAUUCUUUUAGCUCAUUUGUGACCCAGAGAGUUUUAAUGUCUGUGAGUUCUAGAAUGUAUAAGAAAAAUUUACUCAGGCACUAUCCUUUGAAUUAGAACAUGGAACAACAAGGUCCUAUAAAUUGUGAUAAUUUAUCUUAUUUGAAAUCCCAGUUAUGCAGAGUGAUUUUUCAGUCACUUGCAUAAUUACAGAAAAUUUGAGAAAUAUUAAGUAAUCGGUGGUGAUAUGACCAUGUUCAGAAACCAAAGGCCAAAAGAGAAGCCAAAUUGAAUAAACAAAAUUGUCUUAGUAAAUAGCAAAAUGUAGAGUUCCUCUGUAAUUGGAGGUAAAUUCUAAACAAUAAAACACAUGUGAUGUUUUGUUUUUUAAAAAGAUCACCUGAUUUGUUCUUAAACCAGGCUUACAAGCUACAAUAUAAUCUUUUAAAAUUAUAGGUAAUUACAAAAAGGCACAUUAAACUUCAGUUAAUCACAGUUGUUUCAAAAAUAUGUCCCUUCUCUUAACAAAGCAGUAACUCAGCCAAAACUUGGAUAAACUGGCAUUUCCUUAGAUCACAUGUUUCAUUCCUAAACACAAUGCCCCUUGUGUUUCUUUCAGGUGUCCAUACUUUCUCUGAAAAAUAGAUCUCCCCUUCCAAAGCUUGAGCAUUAUCUACUCUUUGUUUGAAAAUAAAUGCAUUGUUCAUGUGGGGACUAGUAACGCAGGUGUUUUACCUCUCUUUUCCCAGUCAGGCUGAUUCUUAAGCCUUUUAUGAAAUCAGUUCAGUUUAGUCAAAUCUCUGACAUCCACUUUUUAUUGCCAUUUCCCUUUAUGGCUAUAAUAUCAGCCCUAAAUACAACAAGAUCAUCUUUUAUUCCAUUAUGUUUACCUCUUUCUUCUACAACAGUUAUCUUAGAAGAUGUUUACAUUUUUAGUUAAUAUCUCAAGUCUUGCCAACAUUCUGCUUUCUUCUCACUUCUUGAAGACUAACUCUGGGGCAAGGCCAAAGUUCAGAUCAAGCAUUAAUAGUUCAAGUUGCUUUCAUUUUUCCUAAACUCCUUAAGGUACCCAGAUUUGCUCCUGUCACUGGAAAGCACUGUCUAAAAGCUUUGCAUGAAAUUAAACUCCCUGAGGUGUGACCAAACUGAAUAAAGCCGUGGAGGGAUGUAUUGAAGCAACUCUUCCUGAGUGAGGCAUGAGAAACACUGACAUUCUUAGCACAGCAAGGAUUGGUGUUGGGUGUCAGGUAACUGAUUGUGUCUUCUGAAAUACAGAGUUUCAACCCCUCAUUUUAUUUCCAAACAAUCACUUUUAUGUUACUCUCUAGAGAAUGAGGAGGGUCGGAUCUUAGAUCAUGGGGCAUGCUAUAGCUGAGAACGGAAAAAGGGGAGCAGAAUUACUUAAAGACUUCAUCUCUUCAAUGCAGAGGAUAGUAAUUGAUAUUACUUAUCAAAGUAUCUCUUUUCUAGCUAUGCAACAUGAAGUUUCAAGCAAUUUAUUAUUGUCAUUGAUGUCUCAAUUGUGUACAUAAUCCCCUUUUCCUGUCAUUUACGAUACUAAAAUAUACUUUAGUAAAAUAUAGUACAUAUUUUAGGUUUUUAUCAUAUUGUUUUCAUGGCUAAGAGGUUUAACAAUUUCAUCUUUUAUUAUAAAUGUUAGAAGGUUUAUGUGAAAAUAGUGAAUAAUCAGUAAAUAAUCUAGCUUCUUUUUCUAAUUGCAGUGUUUUUCUUAAUAUGACAAUGUACUGAAAGCUUUGUUGAUUAAAAGUGGAAUGUAACACGUUC